CCUCACUACAAGGAAGACAUUGAGGUUCUAGAGCUUGUCCAGAGAAGAGAAAUGAAGCUGUGAUGGGUCUGGAGCACAAGUCUUACGGGGAGCGGCUGGAAGAACUGGGAUUGUUCAGUCUGAAGAAGAAAAAGCUCAGAGGAGACCUUCUUGCUCUCUUCAACAACCUGAAAGGAGGUUGUGCUGUUCCAGAUGGCCAGGAGUCUGAAGAGUGGGGACUGGAGGAAACCAGACUUACAGCACAAGCCCCUGGAUGCACU
rnacentral:lncRNA from 1 species